UAGACACCACGAAAGAAAAUAAACGUGACAAAAGUAGAGCAAAUAGUUCCAACAUUGACCAGUACGUACAUCCCAAUAUUGCUUGUUUAUAAGAAAGAUAAGAUAUAGAAUUGAGUUUAUUCACAAAUGAGAAAAUAGGUGAAAAGUAUCAAAAGGCUUGCUACGCAGGAGAGAUGAUGCUGGACGAUCGAUGAACAAAUUCAAUCCCUAGUUAGAUUAUCUUUAUUUAUUGGCCAGCAUCAUACUCCUGCAUAUUAAGCCUCGAACGAUGCUACAAAACCAGGUUAAUUAAUUACGAUCGACUGUUGGAGGAGAAACCAUUGUUAGAAAUGUUCACGUAGAAGCUCCUCUUUCAUCUGCAGGCUGAAUUGUUGGGACCGGAAUGGUUAUAGAUACUUGAGAGAGUUUAUUUGUCUCAUUUAUAGACUAUGAUUGAUUCUUAUUUAAUCCACACAUAUCUGCUCACAGUGUCACUUGGUUCUUAACAAGUUCUUUCAGGUUUAGAAGGAGGCACCUGCUCUAACUUGUCUAAUGAAACAACACUUUUUUAUUC